rnacentral:rRNA from 1 species
UAGCCUACGGGGGGCAGCAGUGGGGAACCUUCCACAAUGGACGAAAGUCUGAUGGAGCAACGCCGCGUGAGUGAAGAAGGGUUUCGGCUCGUAAAGCUCUGUUGGUAGUGAAGAAAGAUAGAGGUAGUAACUGGCCUUUAUUUGACGGUAAUUACUUAGAAAGUCACGGCUAACUACGUGCCAGCAGCCGCGGUAAUACGUAGGUGGCAAGCGUUGUCCGGAUUUAUUGGGCGUAAAGCGAGUGCAGGCGGGUCAAUAAGUCUGAUGUGAAGGCCUUCGGCUCAACCGGGGAAUU